GUGGCCGGUGUGGUAAUGCACAUUGGCUUGAAGAAGCAUUCAGUUGUCUCAGGAGUAUUCCCUGACUCCUGUACCGCAGGCUCCUCCCAACGCCGCUCCUCCCGAUCCCCCUCCGGCACGUCCUCCAUGGCGGCGGCGCGACCAAUCUCGCCGGCCAGAUCGGCAGACACCUCCGCCUCCCUCGCAGCAACCUGCCGUCACCACCCUACCCCAUCCCAACUCAACUUCCCUUUCCGGCUUCCAGGCCAGAUCCGGCCGCCUCCGACUUCGGGGCGCCAGAUAUAGCUCAGGGCGGCGACGGGAACGGGAAGAUCUCCUUGAGCUCGUGGGCAGGCUGGCUACGAGCACGAUGAAGAAGAGGCGGCCACGGUGACGCGGCGGCGACAUCGGAGGACGUGGGCUGAUAUGUUGGGACGCCUGCGCGACUACUUCCCAGCAUCCUCUCUCCUCCCCGGCACUAGUACAGAGAAGGCGGCUGUUGGGCGACGGCAGCGACUUCGGCCGACCGCCCUCCCUGGUAUGCUCCCGAUGGCGCUGAUGCUUCCUCCUCCUCUCUGAUCCACUCUCAACCCAUCUGGAACGAAGCCAAUGUCAGCAUGAGCUGCGAGUCCAGCUUCAUCCGGCCAAGGCACUGAGGAUCAUAAAAUCAACUCUAAUCGAAAAUCCCAUUUUAUUGACAACGAUUGAAGCCUCGUUUGGAUCAAAAUCCGUCAAAAUGUGGCCUCAUAGUGGAACGCUGAAGCUGCAUUUGGCAGGAUUCAAGUCAAGUUGUUUGUUAGGAGGCUAGCUGUGCCUAUGGGUAUAUGUAAAGUGUUAUGUGAUGUGAAGCUGUUUGUCGUAGCUCUUUUUUUGUGUCAAAUUCUCCAUACUUUAAAAAUGUGACGAUAUGCAUGCGAAUGUUUACUGCGAUCAACAUUUUUGUGACUGUUGGAUGUAGGUGAAUACAGGGGAGUUAUGCUGAAAUUUUUAAUAAA